AUCAUGGCUCAGAUUGAACGCUGGCGGCAGGCCUAACACAUGCAAGUCGAACGGUAACAGGAAGCAGCUUGCUGCUUCGCUGACGAGUGGCGGACGGGUGAGUAAUGUCUGGGAAACUGCCUGAUGGAGGGGGAUAACUACUGGAAACGGUAGCUAAUACCGCAUAACGUCGCAAGACCAAAGAGGGGGACCUUAGGGCCUCUUGCCAUCGGAUGUGCCCAGAUGGGAUUAGCUAGUAGGUGGGGUAACGGCUCACCUAGGCGACGAUCCCUAGCUGGUCUGAGAGGAUGACCAGCCACACUGGAACUGAGACACGGUCCAGACUCCUACGGGAGGCAGCAGUGGGGAAUAUUGCACAAUGGGCGCAAGCCUGAUGCAGCCAUGCCGCGUGUAUGAAGAAGGCCUUCGGGUUGUAAAGUACUUUCAGCGGGAG
rnacentral:rRNA from 1 species